rnacentral:rRNA from 1 species
CUGGCUAGCAUGCAUGCCUAGAUAGAGGGGGUGAUCUCUCGAAUCUGCGAACGGCUCCGCAAACCGGUUGUAAUUCAUUGUACGUCUAGCCCGGCGUCGGGCUCCUGCCCUCCGGGGUAGGGGCUGGAUCCGGGCACCGCUUAUAUGGAUAUCCCUGGUAAUUCUGGGGCUAAUACAUGGCAUAAACACUGAACUGGCCCGGUCCCGGGGGCGUAGGCUUCGGCCGAAACCAUCAACCCGGGGUAUCCCGGGCCAGGGACGUGCGAGUCUUCCAACCAAGUUCGGCUUGGGGUCUCUUCUAACCUUCGGGACGGAACGCACGUCUGAACCUGCUCCCGUCUCGUGCGGGACCGGUUCCGGGCACCGAGCUUUCUUCUGGUUGCGGGUUCAGGUUAACCCCUGGGUUCGCCUCUGGGGAUUGCGGAGUCCUUGUACCGGGCAGGUGGGUACUGCGGCUUCCGACCUAUCAACUAGAAUGCGGUAAAAUGGGCUGCAAUGGUCACAACGGGUACAGAGGAUUAGGGUUCGAUCCUGGAGAGUGGGCCUGAGAGAUCGCUCCUACUUCUAAGGAAGGCAGCAGGCGCGCAAAGUUCCCCUUGGGCUAUUGCCUGAGGGCGCUAGGGGACAUAUGAAUGGCUAUCAAUUUUGGUGGCCAAUUCAAAUGGGUCUGUUGUAAAUAGGCUCUCGAGUAACAAUUGGAGGACAAGUCUGGUGGACAAGGGAACCCUCAACCGGUUCCCCCCAACGCCAGAUGUCGGCUAUCCCGGGGUCACGCUUGUCUCGGGUAGGUUUCGGCAGAAAGCCGGGAUAAGCUCCGGCUGUACAACUGUAAUUGCAGGAACACCAGGUAUGGAUGGGGUACCACAGCCCAGGAAACAAUAACCGGGGUCCUGUCCGCUAGGGCAGGGUACAUCCUCAUUCCAGGGGCCUUCGUCCGGGCCAGCCACCCCUUACCGGGGUGCACCACCCUGGUCAAUCUGCAGCCAGCCGCU